UGGGGCGUCGCCAAGCGGUAAGGCUCUGGACUCUGACUCCAGCAUCGGUGGUUCGAAUCCAUCCGCCCCAGCCA
rnacentral:tRNA from 1 species